rnacentral:rRNA from 1 species
AUACGGAGGAUGCGAGCGUUAUCCGGAUUUAUUGGGUUUAAAGGGUGCGUAGGCGGGACUGUAAGUCAGGGGUGAAAUACUGCAGCUUAACUGUAGCAUUGCCUUUGAAACUGCCGUUCUUGAGGACCGUUGAGGUAGGCGGAAUGUGGGGUGUAGCGGUGAAAUGCAUAGAUAUACCACAGAACGCCGAUUGCGAAGGCAGCUUACUAAGCUGUUACUGACGCUGAGGCACGAAAGCGUGGGGAUCAAACAGGAUUAGAUACCCUGGUAGUCCACGCUGUAAACGAUGAUUACUGGUUGUUAGCGAUAUAUAGCUAGUGACUGAGCGAAAGCAUUAAGUAAUCCACCUGGGGAGUACGUCGGCAACGAUGAAACUCAAAGGAAUUGACGGGG